UACCGAUAUUCGCCAGCGGGCGGUAGU
rnacentral:piRNA from 1 species